GUGCUCAGUUUGGCAGCACAUAUGCUAAUAUUGGAAGGAUACAGAGAAGAUCAGUGUGGCCCCGCAAGGAUGACACACCAAUUCGUAAAGCGUUCUGUACCUUU
rnacentral:snRNA from 1 species